AUUGAACGCUGGCGGCAUGCCUACACAUGCAAGUCGAACGGCAGCGGGGGAGAAGCUUGCUUUUCCUGCCGGCGAGUGGCGAACGGGUGAGUAAUACAUCGGAACGUGCCCUGUAGUGGGGGAUAACUAGUCGAAAGAUUAGCUGAUACCGCAUACGACCUGAGGGUGAAAGCGGGGGACCGCAAGGCCUCAUGCUAUAGGAGCGGCCGAUGUCUGAUUAGCUAGUUGGUGGGGUAAAGGCCUACCAAGGCGACGAUCAGUAGCUGGGCUGAGAGGACGAUCAGCCACACUGGGACUGAGACACGGCCCAGACUCCUACGGGAGGCAGCAGUGGGGAAUUUUGGACAAUGGGCGAAAGCCUGAUCCAGCAAUGCCGCGUGUGUGAAGAAGGCCUUCGGGUUGUAAAGCACUUUUGUCCGGAAAGAAAUGGCUCUGGUUAAUACCUGGGGUCGAUGACGGUACCGGAAGAAUAAGGACCGGCUAACUACGUGCCAGCAGCCGCCGUAA
rnacentral:rRNA from 1 species